rnacentral:rRNA from 1 species
GAUCCUGCCCGAGGCCACUGCUAUGGGGUCCGACUAAGCCAUGCGAGUCAUGGGGCGCGCUCUGCGCGCACCGGCGGACGGCUCAGUAACACGUCGGUAACCUACCCUCGGGAGGGGGAUAACCCCGGGAAACUGGGGCUAAUCCCCCAUAGGCCUGAGGUACUGGAAGGUCCUCAGGCCGAAAGGGGCAUCUGCCCGCCCGAGGAUGGGCCGGCGGCCGAUUAGGUAGUUGGUGGGGUAACGGCCCACCAAGCCGAAGAUCGGUACGGGCCAUGAGAGUGGGAGCCCGGAGAUGGACACUGAGACACGGGUCCAGGCCCUACGGGGCGCAGCAGGCGCGAAACCUCCGCAAUGCGGGCAACCGCGACGGGGGGACCCCCAGUGCCGUGGCAUCGCCACGGCUUUUCCGGAGUGUAAAAAGCUCCGGGAAUAAGGGCUGGGCAAGGCCGGUGGCAGCCGCCGCGGUAAUACCGGCGGCCCGAGUGGUGGCCGCUAUUAUUGGGCCUAAAGCGUCCGUAGCCGGGCCCGUAAGUCCCUGGCGAAAUCCCACGGCUCAACCGUGGGGCUUGCUGGGGAUACUGCGGGCCUUGGGACCGGGAGAGGCCGGGGGUACCCCUGGGGUAGGGGUGAAAUCCUAUAAUCCCAGGGGGACCGCCAGUGGCGAAGGCGCCCGGCGGAAC